AAAUACUUAGUGGCGGACGGGUGAGUAACGCGUGAGAAUCUGCCUUCAGGACGGAGACAACAGUUGGAAACGACUGCUAAGCCCCGAUGAACCGAAAGGGAAAAUAUUUAUAGCCUGAAGAUGAGUUCGCGUCCGAUUAGCUAGUUGGCGGAGUAAAAGCCCACCAAGGCGACGAUCGGUAGCUGGUCUGAGAGGACGAUCAGCCACACUGGGACUGAGACACGGCCCAG
rnacentral:rRNA from 1 species